UGUCUGCACGUAUUUUUUUUUUUUUUUUUUUUAGUUAUAAUAGCAGUAGCUGAAUUAGCAUAACGAAUACAAGUUACCCUUGUUCGGUCGGAUAGAAGCACAAGAAGAGUCUUUUGAGGAAGGAAAACCGGGGAUAAUCCACCAACACCAACAUAGUUGGUUUGUUGACCAGGUUAUAGGGCUGUCAACUAGAACCAUCAGCUGGUUUGAAGAUGAAACUGGAGCUAACAAUGUGUACAGGCCACAGUUGUUGACCACUACCGAGGCCUCACCGCUCACUUGUCUCGCCGUCUGCUCGAUCACAGUGACAUGCAAGGCAGCUACAUACAACAACGUGACCGGGGAAUGUAUUUGUCUUCAUAGCAAAACGAUUAUUACGUCACAACCGGGAAAUCGUCUUUGGCACCGCCAGUUUGAUGGCUUCAUCUAUAAUGCGCAAUUGGGAUGGUACAUCAGGGUGGUUGGAAACAUGUCAUUAACACAGCCUGACGCGGAGGCCUUCUGUGGCACCCUAGGUGCCAGGCUGGCCGUCCUGGAUACAGAUGGGAAGAUAAACUACGCCACAGCUCUACCUGACUACUACACUUACAUACCCUUCUAUGUAGGCGCAAUGUAUAAUCAAACUGAGGGAGCAUUUCUAUGGAGUACCGGCGCUAAAGUAUCAACCAAUUGGAGAGCUGGUGAGCCGAAUGGCUUCUUCCGUGACGAGAAAUGUGUGGCACUGUACUGGAGACAAUUGGUUGAUAUUCCUUGUAAUUCUGUAAUUCUGUUCAUAUGCGAAAUUAUGUAGUUAUCUGCAUAAGCGCACUUUCGUAGAGCUUGUAUCAAGACAUACAGACCGUUUUGUUUGUUUUUUGGCAUUGAAUUCAAUGGAUUUUUCUUAGACUGGAAGGGGUUAAACUUGAACAACAAGCAAUUGAUUAAAAAUUAAAUAGCAAACAGUGAUCGUGAAUUUGUCAGGCAUUUAACGUAUCUGUGUAUUCUUGUUUAGCAUCGAGAUAAUAUCACAUGACCAUAAAAAGCUUAUGUGAGUGCGACUGAAUAGAAAAGAUACUGUAACAUCAUCCAUGUAAUAAAGUGACAGAAUUUGGACGAUGUAAAUGACCCAUUAUCGACAUGGCAAGAUGUUCGGACGGUAUAUAGAUGUACCGUAGAAUAAUAGUUUGAUGAGCAGAUGAAUGGAAUGGGAAAAAUUACAUAAAUGCAAUGUGAGAAUGAUAGAUAAAGGUAAUGUGAAUAAUAAAUCGCUGUAAUGUGAGAAUGAUAGAAUGUUAGAUAAAUGUUUUGAGAAUAUUGUAUCAUAAUAUAUAUACUGUGAGAAUGAUAAAUAAAUGUAUAUAUAUAUAUAUAUAAAUUCCUAGAGUAACAUUUGAAUGUGAUGUGAGAAUAAUAGAUGUAAUAUUUAUAUAAUAGAUGUGAUUGUAGGUAAUUGUAAUGUGACAUGUCUACACUAUAUAUGUUGUGAGUGUUG